GCGAUGAGGUUCCUCAGCUGUUUGAUGACGGUGUCGAUCAACUUCUGUCUGUCUCUGUCCGUCUUCCUGAACUGGGCGAAGACGUUGUUCUUCCGGCUCGUCUCCCUCAUCCUGCAGACAGGAAAACGCUGGAGAACCGUGGAUGUCCAGGAGGUUUUGGGGCCCAGCGGACCAGACAAGCCCCAGCAGGGUGCUUCCUCCUGGGCACCAACAGACCACCAGGCCUGCCUCUAAUGACCUGGAGGCCGAAGAGCUGCUGUUUGUUAGUGUGUACAGGCAGAAUCAAAGUGUGUUCAUGCAGGUUGUGUGUGUGUUAUCAGUGUUUCCAUAUCAGCUGUGAUGGUACACGGAUGGAUGUGGGUGUUGUCGUGGCGAUAACAUCUGGCCGGUAACAGCCGAUAAACAUCGUCACGACAUGAGAUUACUUCUAUGUAAAUCCCUGCGGUGAGAUUUCACACACUUUAAACCAAACAGUGGAGACGAUACUCACGGCUUAAACAACCUGCAGAAACAGAAAAGAGCCGCUGAGAUACAGAUGGAGGAAGAUCUAAAGGCCAACAAGUCAAACCAGUAGUUUUACUGGAUUUAAAGGAGCAGAUCAACAUUUUGGGUCACACACUGUUUGCCUUUUUUCCAAUUCUACCAUUACAAGAACAGUUAGCCUAGCUUAGCAUUAGCCACAGGAUAAUUGACUUCAAAGCCCAAAAUAGUUCGUAAAAUCUCAAUCAACAUCUACAAAUCUAUUUUUUUUGGUUUGAAUUUACUUUUUCCAUCACUGUGUUUCUUUAGCAAACCUAAUUUUGUUUUAAUCUGCUUUUGUGAUUUUGGAAAGUACUCUAUAAUUAAAAUGCUUAUCAUUUACUGUAAAUGAGUAAAUAAACCUGGCUUUGUUGACAU